CCUACGGGUGGCUGCAGUAGGGAAUCUUUCACAAUGGGCGAAAGCCUGAUGGAGCAACGUCGCGUGCAGGAUGAAGGCCUUCGGGUUGUAAACUGCUUUUAUAAGCGAGAAAUAUGAUGGUAACUUAUGAAUACGGAUCGGCUAACUACGUGCCAGCAGCCGCGGUAAUACGUAGGGGGAAAGCGUUAUCCGGAUUUACUGGGUGUAAAGGGAGCGUAGACGGCAGGACAAGUCUGGAGUGAAAUCCCGGGGCUUAACCCCGGAACUGCUUUUGAAACUGUGCGGCUGGAGUGCAGGAGGGGUAAGCGGAAUUCCUAGUGUAGCGGUUAAAUGCGGAGAUAUUAGGAGGAACACCGGUGGCGAAGGCGGCUUAAUGGACUGUAACUGACGUUGAGGCUCGAAAGCGUGGGGAGCAAACAGGAUUAGAUACCCUAGUAGUC
rnacentral:rRNA from 1 species